rnacentral:lncRNA from 12 species
AUUUUCAGGGAAAAUAAAGUAAUGUGUUCUAAUAAUCUCUUCCACAAAACAAGAUGUUGAGAUCACUGUAGCGAAAAAGGCAUUGAUUUUAUUUUUUUGCCAAGUACAAAAUAGCAAAGGUCAAAAGUAAUGCUUAGGUACAGAGAAUAUGAGGUCACUCAAGUGAAUGUUUGUAAGCUGGAAGAUUUUUCUUCUGUGUAUUUGUGUGUCAGCUUUCAGGGAUAAAUGAAACUUAAUGAGGCAGUGGAUCUUUCAAGUGCUGUUUUGGUACUUCAUGUACUAAUAUCAGGGAAGAACAGUUUUUUUAGAUUGAAUGACUGGUAGAAGUUAUUUCUAAUUCAAUUCCCAAAAGAAUGCACAGAAACCAAGACUUGAAAUACAGUUAGCAGCAGGGAGUGGACUUUGUAAUCUCAUAAUCUCUCAGUUUGAUCUGUUGAUUGCAGGAGAACCUGAUAGAAGACACCACACUGAAGAACUGGAAGAUGUAAACAAGAAUAUCGAAGGCUGUUUUUUAAAGUGUGGCAGUAAAUCCCUGGCACUAAGAUGUGAUCAUGGAAGAUUACCAGGAUUUUUAAAGAAUUCCACAAUUCCUACUCCUACUGAAGCCAGUAGAGCCUGAGAAAGGAUCAUCCUGAAGAACGUGCUCCAGAAUGUGAGUUGCCUUCCCUGUGAACAGUCUAUUUUACAGCAAAAAUUGCAAAGAAAAAGCAAGAAUUCAAGAACAACAUUGCCUAGUUGGUUUUGAAAGCUUUUAAAGUUUUUUAAUUUUUAAUUUUCUUUUUAAACUUUUAAGUUUCAGGUUAAGUUUAAUUUUUAAGUGUUAUUAGAUCUCCUGAAUCCCUGCUGCACUGACUCUUUCAUCUGAAUCUUGCUGCACAGAGCAAAGUUGCAUGCAACACUGCGUUUCUGCUGAGAGAAAUCUGUUACUUGAAGUUUGUCAUAAAAAGGUUUUUGAAACCUCUGCCACCUAGGGCAAUUUCACUUCAAAGGAAAAAGACAAAGUGAUUUGCUAAACACAUUUCUUUUGGGCAAUUUGUAAAGGAGGAAUUUACACCUGAACUUGAGAG